CUCGCCUUUUGUGCCGGAUAAUCCAAUUCAAUAUGGCCACGCUUUAAGAAGCGGAUACAAAUACGAGAUAUUUCUUCGUUUUGAAGAGGAACAUCUACUUCCAUAUCCUUAUGAUACUAAUUGUACAGAUUAUGAUGCCGUAUGGAAGAAGAACAAUAAAACUGGACCUCGGUCACAGGAAAUGUGUAGAGAAUUUUGUGAGCAGACUCAUAAUAUGCAAUGUCUCGGGUGCGAAAAGUAUCUGACGAUGUUUUCUUAUAAGUGGAAAUAUUUA